AUUGCAUUAUUUUCUAGGAGCCGGAUUUGUCUCAGGCAGCCCCAAAUUGUAUCCGAGUGACCCUGAGCGGAUGACUUGGGUCUCUGAGCUUCGCUUCCUCAUUUGUUCGGUGAAGAUAACCGCGCUUUAUGAAGUGGUUGUGAGGCUUCCAGGAGGUGACGUCGGCUUUGAUAAGGGGAAGCCAGUGCUUGUGACGUUCCUGCCACUUAAAGCUGUCUGGGGCAGAAUGAAGCAGAAAUGCGUCUGAUCUCAGGCCUUCGACUCUACUUCUUCCUAUGGCAGUUCUUGCUGUACCCGUGAACCGUGGGGACCUCCUGAUCAUACUUCACGGACACCACAGAAAUCCCUUCGGAUUUGCCAAGGUGACCGCCUCCACCCGGAGCAUUGUGAUCAUCCCACCAGCUCUGUAAGAGAAUCGCUUUCCCACACAGUAUAUUGUAAAAGUUGGGAAUCUGGUUCCUGUUUGGUGAGAAACUGUGCAUCACAGUGUAAUUCUUAGAACUAGUUUUCUUCUCGUGGCUGAGGUUGGGCAGUCUUUCAUAUGUGUAAAGGUUAUUCACCUUGGUGUUGCUGUGAGCUGUCUAUAUCCUUUGCAUGGUUGGUUUUUUUUCUCUUUUUUAAUUAAGUUUUUGUUUUUUCCCCUCAAUUUCUAGGAACUCUUUCAUAUCAGGAAGCUCAGUCCUCUGUCCCAGACAUGACUGAAACUAUUUUCCCCCAGUUUAUUGAUAUUACUCUGUCUUGAUUAUAGAUGCCUAUCGUUGUCCCAUGAAUCUGACCUAUGCUUACAGGUGAAUUAAAAUCUCUCCCUGCUG